rnacentral:rRNA from 1 species
AUUAGGCGAUUUUGGUGGGGAAGCAAGGAGGGUAAGCGUAAACUGGCUUGGCUCUAAUGGGACACAAUGACACAAUCAAAAUAUACGGGUGGUCUUGGCUUAGAUUUUGAGAUUUUUAAUCUUGCUCUGCUUGCACGUCAAACAUGGAGAAUUUUGCACGCUCCAGAUUCUCUUAUUUCUUGUAUUGUAAAGGUUGUCUAUUUCCUAUCGUGCUAAAUACUCGGUGCUCAGCUCGGGUUACACCCAACAUGGAUUUGGAGAGAAAUAAUUGAAGGUCGUGUUGUUUUGUGUCAAGGAUUGAUCAAGAGGAUUUGUGAUGCCUCGAGAACUCAUAUUUGGAACCAUAACUGGCUACCUAGGGAUGAACUAAUGAGGACCUUCUUAUCUCAUAUUUAG